rnacentral:lncRNA from 1 species
GACCAAUAUCAAGCUAGUCCUAUCUGGUUAACAUGAUUAUUCUACGCUUAAUGGGUUUUUAUGUGUUUAAUUGUAUGCCUAGCCAAUAGGAUAGAAUUAUCAUAUAGAGAUACAAGAGUUGAUGCUUGACCACAGAUUAAUUCAUAGCUUAGAAAGAACAACCUUUAACAUUGGUAUGGUAAUUGGAUAGUAGUUGACUCUAGGAAAAGUAAAUAAAAUUGUUAUUAAUGAAUUCAUGACCUUAGGUUUUCUUGUGUCGUGUGUUUGUAUUUAAAUCAAUUGUCUUCUCCUUGUUCUUCUCUUUUUUCUUGUUAAUUUUAGUCUGUCUCCUCGAUCUCGUCGUCUCCUUCCCGGUUUGCUAGAAGAAUAGC